rnacentral:misc_RNA from 1 species
GAAGUUGCUGAAGGAGAGAGAGUCGGAGACUGAAAUUGCAGUGGCUUCUUUGAACGCUGAGAUUCACAAGAGCAUGUUGAGGCAGAGGCAGUGGCAGCGAAGAAUGCAGCAGCUAGCGGCAGCAAGAAGGGUAAGUUUUGAAACGGAAAAGAAAGAAAAUGUUGUUAGAGAGGAGGAAAAGAAGAGAGAAUUACUGAUAAGAAUGGAGAAUUUGCCAACUUUGACUCAUAUUUUGAAUCUUAGUGAAGAGAAAGGAUACUUUGGAGGGAAAAAGGAUAAGAAGAAGAAGAUGAAGAAGAAGCCUAUAGUUC